rnacentral:rRNA from 1 species
CCUACGGGUGGCAGCAGUGGGGAAUAUUGGGCAAUGGGCGCAAGCCUGACCCAGCAACGCCGCGUGAAGGAAGAAGGCUUUCGGGUUGUAAACUUCUUUUGUCAGGGACGAAGCAAGUGACGGUACCUGACGAAUAAGCCAUGGCUAACUACGUGCCAGCAGCCGCGGUAAUACGUGGGGGGCAAGCCUUAUCCGGAUUUACUGGGUGUAAAGGGGGUGUAGGCGGGACUGCAAGUCAGAUGUGAAAACCACGGGCUCAAACUGUGGCCUGCCUUUGAAACUGUAGUUCUUGAGUACUGGAGAGGCAGACGGAAUUCCUAGUGUAGCGGUGAAAUGCGUAGAUAUUAGGAGGAACACCAGUGGCGAAGGCGGUAUGCUGGACAGCAACUGACGCUGAGGCGCGAAAGCGUGGGGAGCAAACAGGAUUAGAUACCCUUGUAGUC